rnacentral:rRNA from 1 species
GGAACACGUACGCAACCUUCCUUUAAGCGGAGAAUAGCCCAGGGAAACUUGGAUUAAUACUCCAUAAGAUUAUGGUGUGGCAUCACACAGUAAUUAAAGCUCCGGCACUUAAAGAUGGGCGUGCGGCUGAUUAGGUAGUUGGCGGGGUAACUGGCCCACCAAGCCUACGAUCAGUAACUGGUGUGAGAGCACGACCAGUCACACGGGCAUCUGAGACACGGGCCCGACUCCAUACGGGAGGCAGCAGUAAGGAAUAUUGGUCAAUGGACGCAAGUCUGAACCAGCCAUGCCGCGUGGAGGAUGAAGGCCCUCUGGGUUGUAAACUUCUUUUAUCUGGGAAGAAACCCAUCUUUUCUAAGGUGGUUGACGGUACCAGUUGAAUAAGCACCGGCUAACUCCGUGCCAGCAGCCGCGGUAAUACGGAGGGUGCAAGCGUUAUCCGGAUUCACUGGGUUUAAAGGGUGCGUAGGUGGGCAGGUAAGUCAGUGGUGAAAUCUCCGGGCUUAACCCGGAAACUGCCGUUGAUACUAUCUGUCUUGAAUGUAGUGGAGG